CUAUCUUUCCGUCCGGGAUAACUAGCCGAAAGGUUAGCUAAUACCUGAUACGAUCAUGAAGCGGCAUCGCUUGAUGAUGAAAGCAGCAAUGCGCGGAUCGAGGAGGCUGCGGCCCAUUAGCUAGUUGGCGGGGUAAUGGCCCACCAAGGCAACGAUGGGUAGCUGGUCUGAGAGGACGACCAGCCACACUGGGACUGAGACACGGCCCAG
rnacentral:rRNA from 1 species